rfam:Brachypodium distachyon strain Bd21 chromosome 4, whole genome shotgun sequence.
AGCUCAGUGAUUAGAGCCAAUUAUUGGCAAUAUACGCUAUACUGAGAACUUAUUUGAUGAGAAGUUGGAUAUGAGAGCU